GAGUUUGAUCAUGGCUCAGAUUGAACGCUGGCGGCAGGCCUAACACAUGCAAGUCGAGCGGAUGAAGGGAGCUUGCUCCUGGAUUCAGCGGCGGACGGGUGAGUAAUGCCUAGGAAUCUGCCUGGUAGUGGGGGAUAACGUCCGGAAACGGGCGCUAAUACCGCAUACGUCCUGAGGGAGAAAGUGGGGGAUCUUCGGACCUCACGCUAUCAGAUGAGCCUAGGUCGGAUUAGCUAGUUGGUGGGGUAAAGGCCUACCAAGGCGACGAUCCGUAACUGGUCUGAGAGGAUGAUCAGUCACACUGGAACUGAGACACGGUCCAGACUCCUACGGGAGGCAGCAGUGGGGAAUAUUGGACAAUGGGCGAAAGCCUGAUCCAGCCAUGCCGCGUGUGUGAAGAAGGUCUUCGGAUUGUAAAGCACUUUAAGUUGGGAGGAAGGGCAGUAAGUUAAUACCUUGCUGUUUUGACGUUACCAACAGAAUAAGCACCGGCUAACUUCGUGCCAAC
rnacentral:rRNA from 1 species